AUUGAACGCUGGCGGCAGGCUUAACACAUGCAAGUCGAGCGGAGUGAUGGUGCUUGCACUAUCACUUAGCGGCGGACGGGUGAGUAAUGCUUAGGAAUCUGCCGAGUAGUGGGGGAUAACGCAUCGAAAGGUGUGCUAAUACCGCAUACGUACUGAGGUAGAAAGUGGGGGACCUUCGGGCCUCACGCUAUUCGAGCGGCCGACGUCUGAUUAGCUAGUUGGUGAGGUAAAGGCCCACCAAGGCGACGAUCAGUAGCGGGUCUGAGAGGAUGAUCCGCCACACUGGGACUGAGACACGGCCCAGACUCCUACGGGAGGCAGCAGUGGGGAAUUUUGGACAAUGGGCGCAAGCCUGAUCCAGCCAUGCCGCGUGUCUGAAGAAGGCCUUCGGGUUGUAAAGGACUUUUGUCCGGGAGCAAAUGCUGGUGGCUAACAUCCACCGGAGCUGAGAGUACCGGAAGAAUAAGCACCGGCUAACUACGUGCCAGCAGCCGCAGUAAAAC
rnacentral:rRNA from 1 species